UUUAAUAUGGCAGAAUAUAUGCAUUGGCAUUAAGAGCCAUGUAUGAAAUUUAAACAUUUCUAUUAAAA
rnacentral:tRNA from 1 species